rnacentral:rRNA from 1 species
GACGAACGCUGGCGGCGUGCUUAACACAUGCAAGUCGAGCGGUAAGGCCUUUCGGGGUACCCGAGCGGCGAACGGGUGAGUAACACGUGGGUGAUCUGCCCUGCACUUCGGGAUAAGCCUGGGAAACUGGGUCUAAUACCGGAUAUGACCUCCUAUCGCAUGGUGGGUGGUGGAAAGAUUUAUCGGUGCAGGAUGGGCCCGCGGCCUAUCAGCUUGUUGGUGGGGUAAUGGCCUACCAAGGCGACGACGGGUAGCCGACCUGAGAGGGUGACCGGCCACACUGGGACUGAGACACGGCCCAGACUCCUACGGGAGGCAGCAGUGGGGAAUAUUGCACAAUGGGCGAAAGCCUGAUACAGCGACGCCGCGUGAGGGAUGACGGCCUUCGGGUUGUAAACCUCUUUCAGCAGGGACGAAGCGCAAGUGACGGUACCUGCAGAAGAAGCACCGGCUAACUACGUG